rnacentral:tRNA from 1 species
GGGAAUAUAGCUUAAUGGUAAAGUACUUGCCUAGUAUGCAUGAAGCCCUGGGUUCGAUUCCUCAGUAUCA